rnacentral:rRNA from 1 species
UGGGGGAUAUUGCACAAUGGGCGAAAGCCUGAUGCAGCGACGCCGCGUGGGGGAUGAAGGCUUUCGGGUUGUAAACCUCUUUCGCUAUCGAACAAGGCCCGCUUAGGGUGGGUUGAGGGUAGGUGGAGAAGAAGCGCCGGCUAACUACGUGCCAGCAGCCGCGGUAAUACGUAGGGCGCGAGCGUUGUCCGGAAUUAUUGGGCGUAAAGGGCUUGUAGGCGGCUUGUUGCGCCUGCUGUGAAAACGCGGGGCUUAACUUCGCGCGUGCAGUGGGUACGGGCAGGCUUGAGUGUGGUAGGGGUGACUGGAAUUCCAGGUGUAGCGGUGGAAUGCGAAGAUAUCUGGAGGAACGCCGAUGGCGAAGGCAGGUCACUGGGCCAUUACUGACGCUGAGGAGCGAAAGCAUGGGUAGCGAACAGG